UACAGAGGGGGCGAGCGUUAUUCGGAAUUAUUGGGCGUAAAGAGCUCGUAGGCGGUUUGUCGCGUCUGCCGUGAAAGUCCGGGGCUCAACUCCGGAUCUGCGGUGGGUACGGGCAGACUAGAGUGAUGUAGGGGAGACUGGAAUUCCUGGUGUAGCGGUGAAAUGCGCAGAUAUCAGGAGGAACACCGAUGGCGAAGGCAGGUCUCUGGGCAUUAACUGACGCUGAGGAGCGAAAGCAUGGGGAGCGAACAGG
rnacentral:rRNA from 1 species